rnacentral:rRNA from 1 species
AGUGAACGCUGGCGGUAGGCCUAACACAUGCAAGUCGAACGGCAGCACAGGAGAGCUUGCUCUCUGGGUGGCGAGUGGCGGACGGGUGAGGAAUACAUCGGAAUCUACUCUGUCGUGGGGGACAACGUAGGGAAACUUACGCUAAUACCGCAUACGACCUACGGGUGAAAGCAGGGGACCUUCGGGCCUUGCGCGAUUGAAUGAGCCGAUGUCGGAUUAGCUAGUUGGCGGGGUAAAGGCACACCAAGGCGACGAUCCGUAGCUGGUCUGAGAGGAUGAUCAGCCACACUGGAACUGAGACACGGUCCAGACUCCUACGGGAGGCAGCAGUGGGGAAUAUUGGACAAUGGGCGCAAGCCUGAUCCAGCCAUACCGCGUGGGUGAGGAAGGCCUUCGGGUUGUAAAGCCCUUUUGUUGGGAAAGAAAUCCAGCUGGCUAAUACCCGGUUGGGAUGACGGUACCCAAAGAAUAAGCACCGGCUAACUUCGUGCCAGCAGCCGCCGUAA